rnacentral:rRNA from 1 species
GUGGGGAAUUUUGGACAAUGGGCGCAAGCCUGAUCCAGCCAUGCCGCGUGCAGGAUGAAGGCCUUCGGGUUGUAAACUGCUUUUGUACGGAACGAAAAGACUUCUUCUAAUACAGGAGGUCCAUGACGGUACCGUAAGAAUAAGCACCGGCUAACUACGUGCCAGCAGCCGCGGUAAUACGUAGGGUGCAAGCGUUAAUCGGAAUUACUGGGCGUAAAGCGUGCGCAGGCGGUUAUAUAAGACAGAUGUGAAAUCCCCGGGCUCAACCUGGGAACUGCAUUUGUGACUGUAUAGCUAGAGUACGGUAGAGGGGGAUGGAAUUCCGCGUGUAGCAGUGAAAUGCGUAGAUAUGCGGAGGAACACCGAUGGCGAAGGCAAUCCCCUGGACCUGUACUGACGCUCAUGCACGAAAGCGUGGGGAGCAAACAGGAUUAGAAACCCCUGUAGUCC